UACGUAGGGUGCAAGCGUUAAUCGGAAUUACUGGGCGUAAAGCGUGCGCAGGCGGCUAUGCAAGACAGAUGUGAAAUCCCCGGGCUUAACCUGGGAACUGCAUUUGUGACUGCAUGGCUAGAGUACGGUAGAGGGGGAUGGAAUUCCGCGUGUAGCAGUGAAAUGCGUAGAUAUGCGGAGGAACACCGAUGGCGAAGGCAAUCCCCUGGACCUGUACUGACGCUCAUGCACGACAGCGUGGGGAUCAAACAGG
rnacentral:rRNA from 1 species